GCUGCACAGAGUGGGCAGUGCUGGGACGCUGUGCAGACACCCGCUCCUGUGGCCCACUUCUCUCUCUCUGUCUCUCUUUCCUUCUCUCUCACUCUCUCUCGCACACAAUCCCCUCCUUUCCUGCUGUGACUUUCCUCCCCUCACUUUUCCACAACCAGCCACCUACAGCUCUGAGCAGCUCUGCAUCCUUAGCAGGUCACUGGGGAGCCUACCUGCGGCAGCGUGGUGUUAUGAACAGAGAACAGGUUUAGGAGUCGCAGUCUGGGUUCUACUUCCAGAUCCGUCCUUUACAAGCUGCCCCUUCAAGGGAGUUGAGGGUCCCAGGAAGAAGAAUAAAUGCUCCCAUCUAGUUCACUGUAUCAGAAUGGACCCUGAUGAUUGCAAAUGACAGAACCUAACUCAUUUCAACCAUAACAAUGAGAGCAGUGUUUCGGUAGCUUGUGAGAUCCAAGGAGAGCUGGAAACCAAGGUUCUGGGAGGACGGUGAGAAAGCAGGGCCUCGGAUGCGCUGGAACCAGAGGCUCACAUCCCACCAGUGCUCCUGUAACUGUAUCUCUUCUGUAGGUGUUGGCUGCAUCCUUCUCUAGUG
rnacentral:lncRNA from 1 species